AUUGAACGCUGGCGGCAUGCUUUACACAUGCAAGUCGAACGGUAACAGGUCUUCGGAUGCUGACGAGUGGCGAACGGGUGAGUAAUGCAUCGGAACGUGCCCAGUCGUGGGGGAUAACGCAGCGAAAGCUGUGCUAAUACCGCAUACGAUCUAUGGAUGAAAGCGGGGGAUCGCAAGACCUCGCGCGAUUGGAGCGGCCGAUGUCAGAUUAGCUAGUUGGUGGGGUAAAGGCCCACCAAGGCGACGAUCUGUAGCUGGUCUGAGAGGACGACCAGCCACACUGGGACUGAGACACGGCCCAGACUCCUACGGGAGGCAGCAGUGGGGAAUUUUGGACAAUGGGCGCAAGCCUGAUCCAGCAAUGCCGCGUGCAGGAAGAAGGCCUUCGGGUUGUAAACUGCUUUGUACGGAACGAAAGGUCUGGGUUAAUACCCUGGCCCGAUGACGGUACCGUAAGAAUAAGCACCGGCUAACUACGUGCCAG
rnacentral:rRNA from 1 species